rnacentral:rRNA from 1 species
UACGUAGGGGGCUAGCGUUGUCCGGGUUUAUUGGGCGUAAAGAGCUCGUAGGUGGUUCGGUAAGUCGGAUGUGAAAUCUCCAGGCUCAACCUGGAGGGGUCAUUCGAUACUGCCGUGACUAGAGUUCGGUAGAGGAGUGUGGAAUUCCUGGUGGAGCGGUGAAAUGCGCAGAGAUCAGGAGGAACACCCGUAGCGAAGGCGGCACUCUGGGCCGAUACUGACACUGAGGAGCGAAAGCGUGGGGAGCGAACAGG